rnacentral:rRNA from 1 species
UUCCGUUGGGUUGGAAGGGCUUUCACUGAGUCCUUUCGGCUUAAGAUAUAGUCGGACCCCGCUGAAAGGCGGUCUGCGAGAGGAAUUCUGUUUAUCAGAAGGAGAGCUCGCAGGUGCUCAGGUAAUACUCUGCAAUGCAAAUUGUUUGAGGGCAAAAUAUGCCUCUGAGCAGGAAAAAAUCGA